GACGAACCGUGCGAGCGUUGUUCGGAAUCACUGGGCUUAAAGGGCGCGUAGGCGGGCUGUCAAGUCUGGGGUGAAAUGCCGCGGCUCAACCGUGGAACUGCCUCAGAUACUGUCGGCCUCGAGGGAGGUAGGGGCGUGCGGAACUGUAGGUGGAGCGGUGAAAUGCGUUGAUAUCUGCAGGAACUCCGGUGGCGAAAGCGGCGCGCUGGACAUCUACUGACGCUGAGGCGCGAAAGCUAGGGGAGCAAACGGG
rnacentral:rRNA from 1 species